ACCCUUCUCUGCUUUAUUCCACUGCAUUUUAAAGGGGCAAUCUGGGAUGGAUACAUCCAGGUUUUUGACUAAAUUAUUGAGAUGAAUCAUUUGAUUCUUGGAGAAUAUAAUUAAUAAAUGCAUCACGAGCUUAAUUAAACUGUCUUACCCUAUUAGAUACACUUAUUUUAACAAUGACAAACCACAAGGAUUUCAUUCUUUGCAGUAGAGUGUAACUUCUACAACACUAUUCGUUAUGUAGAGGACAGGUUUCAGGUUUCAUACAUGCCACUUCACAUCAGUCAAUGAAUAGUCAAAACCAUCUAGUUCAGCGUUCAGAAGUGCAUUGCACUGCAAACACACAGCCCAGAUUGAAAAGGCCAAAACCCCUCCGGUGUGUGUAAUGUACUGUAGGUUGUUAUCAGAAUCCAAAACAAGGGCAACAACACGUCGAUUGGUUGGCUCAGAGGUUGAGAAGGCUAUCGCAACAGGCACUGGUCCCAAAUGGCACCCUAUUCCCUAUGUAGUGUACUACUUUGGACCAGGGGCCUAGUCAAACAUAGUGCACUAUGUAGGGAAUAGGGUGCUAUUUGGGAUAAAAGCCAGUGUUUCACCACUUCAAAAGAGUGAAGACAGGCAGCAGCAAACCUCUUUCUGUUAAAUGAUUGACCGACACCGCAGACCUGGGUUCAAAUACUAUUCAAAAUAAUUUCUAAUACUUUAUCUGGGCUUGUUUGAUGCAGUGGAACCAAUCGAAUAAUCCUGCCCAUUUGACACCUAAGAGUCCAAUCAGAUUAGAGCGAACGCUAAAAUGUAUUUGAAAGGUUCCAGGUCUGCAACACUGAGGCGACCCACAUCCUUCCUCUCUAUGGCUCCAGCCUGGACUGCAACAGUGUGACAGGGGUGGAUUUCAAUUGAAAUUAACCCCGGCUGCCCAGGGGGCCCCACUGAUAAAAAUAUAUAUAUAUAUAUAUAUCACUGAUAAAAAAAUAAUUAAAAUAUAUAUAUAUAAUAUUAUGACAAUGUGUUCAAAACAAUUAUGUAUGGCCUAUUGUGUUUAUUUUUAUUCUGAAAUUAAAAGCGUACAUGAAAGUUAUAUUAAGUUGUGUAAUAAUAGCAGCAGGUCUGUGGGGAAAUUUCUAGUUUGGGGGGGGCCUCAACGGUAUUUUGAAACGGGGCCCCACGUCUUUAGACCAUCGUUCAGUCAGAUCACACUGACUGAAUGAAGAAACGUUUUAGAAUGAGAAGCUCAGCUGUUGUAUUUGUAGCCUGGUGGUUAGAGUGUAGAGGCGGCAGGGUAGCCUGGUGGUUAGAGUGUAGAGGCGGCAGGGUAGCCUGGUGGUUAGAGUGUAGAGGCGGCAGGGUAGCCUGGUGGUUAGAGUGUAGAGGCGGCAGGGUAGCCUGGUGGUUAGAGUGUAGAGGCGGCAGGGUAGCCUGGUGGUUAGAGUGUAGAGGCGGCAGGGUAGCCUGGUGGUUAGAGUGUAGAGGCGGCAGGGUAGCCUGGUGGUUAGAGUGUAGAGGCGGCAGGGUAGCCUGGUGGUUAGAGUGUAGAGGCGGCAGGGUAGCCUGGUGGUUAGAGUGUAGAGGCGGCAGGGUAGCCUGGUGGUUAGAGUGUAGAGGCGGCAGGGUAGCCUGGUGGUUAGAGUGUAGAGGCGGCAGGGUAGCCUGGUGGUUAGAGUGUAGAGGCGGCAGGGUAGCCUGGUGGUUAGAGUGUAGAGGCGGCAGGGUAGCCUGGUGGUUAGAGUGUAGAGGCGGCAGGGUAGCCUGGUGGUUAGAGUGUAGAGGCGGCAGGGUAGCCUGGUGGUUAGAGUGUAGAGGCGGCAGGGUAGCCUGGUGGUUAGAGUGUAGAGGGGGCAGGGUAGCCUGGUGGUUAGAGUGUAGAGGCGGCAGGGUAGCCUAGUGGUUAGAGUGUAGAGGCGGCAGGGUAGCCUAGUGGUUAGAGUGUAGAGGCGGCAGGGUAGCCUAGUGGUUAGUGUUGGACUAGUAACCGGAAGGUUCCAAGUUCAAACCCCUGAGCUGACAAGGUACAAAAUCUGUCGUUCUGCUCCUGAACAGGCAGUUUAAUCCACUGUUCCCAGGCCGUCAUUGAAAAUAAGAAUUUGUUCUAAACUGACUUGCCUAGUUAAAUGAAGGUAAAAUAAAUAAAAAUCUAGAGCAAACUGGGCCCCCCCCCCCCCCCAGGGGUCCGCAAAUUAUUAUUAUACUGAACAAAUAUAUCGACUCAUGUAAAGUGUUUGUAAUGCUCCGGGUGUCAUGGGUGUGGAGUCAAAAUGCAGGAGACAGAGUUCAAUGCUGUGCGUCUUUUACUAGCAUCAACGCACCACAGGGUGCUCACAAAAGUAACGUUCCCAAACACAGGGGAAAAAUUACAAUGAAGAAAUACACGACUAGGCACUAAACACGUACCUCUACAACAGAGCCGAAGGUUACAAUGAAAAUAAUCCCGCACAACAACCAGGCGGGCCGGCUGUCUAAUAAAGACAAACUAAUUAAACUAAUUAAACAUGAACAGGUGCUACCACUAAACAUACAAGGAGGGAGAGGAAAAACAAUCAGUGGCAGCUAAUAGGCCGGUGAUGACGACCGCCGAGCGCCACCCGCCCGGGAAGGGGAAACACCCUCGGUCGGACUCGUGACAGUGUUGGUCCCUGAGCUGAAAUCAAAUAUCCCAUAAAUGUUCCAUAUGUACAAAAAGCUUAUUUCUUCUAAAUGUUGUGCACACGUGUGUUUACAUCUCUGUUAGUGAGCAUUUCUCCUUUGCCAAGAUUGUCCAGCCACCUUGACAGGUGUGUCCUAUCAAAAGCUUGUGGCUGGUCUCAGACGAUCCCACAGUUUCAUCAGCUGCCCAGGUGUCUCAGACGAUCCCACAGUUUCAUCAGCUGCCCAGGUGUCUCAGACGAUCCCACAGUUUCAUCAGCUGCCCAGGUGUCUCAGACGAUCCCACAGUUUCAUCAGCUGCCCAGGUGUCUCAGACGAUCCCACAGUUUCAUCAGCUGCCCAGGUGUCUCAGACGAUCCCACAGUUUCAUCAGCUGCCCAGGUGUCUCAGACGAUCCCACAGGUUAAGAAGCUGGAUGUGGAGGUCGUGGGCUGGUGUGGUGACACGUGGACUUCGGUUGUGAGGCCGUUUGGACCUACUGCCAAAUUCUCUAAAAUGAUGUUAGAGGCAGCUUAUAUCCUGUACUGUCUAUCUGUAUGUGUACUGGAACUAUACUAGACUGUACUGUCUAUCUGUAUGUGUACUGGAACUAUACUACACUGUACUGUCUAUCUGUAUGUGUACUGGAACUAUACUACACUGUACUGUCUAUCUGUAUGUGUACUGGAACUAUACUACACUGUACUGUCUAUCUGUAUGUGUACUGGAACUAUACUACACUGUACUGUACUUCUACUACUGCUGUACAUGGACCAUCUACGGCUUUAUUAGCCUGACUACCACGGUUUGUGUUGUCAUGCCACUGGCUUGACAAUGAGCGCUGGAGUUGGCAAGAACACAAACUGAUCUGAGACCAGGCUAUGGUUCUAUUCAACAUAUUGACCCAUGUCAAGUUUUGCUUAGUCACACAUUCGAUUUAGUAUGUUGUCUUGUGAUU